UCCUUUUGGAACGAGAGAUGAGGAGCUUGCUCUUCAAAUCGAGUGGCGAACGGGUGAGUAACGCGUGAGGAACCUGCCUCAAAGAGGGGGACAACAGUUGGAAACGACUGCUAAUACCGCAUAAGCCCACGGCUCGGCAUCGAGCAGAGGGAAAAGGAGCAAUCCGCUUUGAGAUGGCCUCGCGUCCGAUUAGCUAGUUGGUGAGGUAAUGGCCCACCAAGGCAACGAUCGGUAGCCGGACUGAGAGGUUGAACGGCCACAUUGGGACUGAGACACGGCCCAGACUCCUACGGGAGGCAGCAGUGGGGAAUAUUGCACAAUGGGGGAAACCCUGAUGCAGCGACGCCGCGUGGAGGAAGAAGGUCUUCGGAUUGUAAACUCCUGUUGUUGAGGAAGAUAAUGACGGUACUCAACAAGGAAGUGACGGCUAACUACGUGCCAGCAGCCGCGGUAAAACGUAGGUCACAAGCGUUGUCCGGAAUUACUGGGUGUAAAGGGAGCGCAGGCGGGAGAACAAGUUGGAAGUGAAAUCCAUGGGCUCAACCCAUGAACUGCUUUCAAAACUGUUUUUCUUGAGUAGUGCAGAGGUAGGCGGAGUUCCCGGUGUAGCGGUGGAAUGCGUAGAUAUCGGGAGGAACACCAGUGGCGAAGGCGGCCUACUGGGCACCAACUGACGCUGAGGCUCGAAAGUGUGGGUAGCA
rnacentral:rRNA from 1 species